rnacentral:tRNA from 1 species
GGAAGUAUAGCUCAGUGGUAGAGUACUCGCCUAGUAUGGGUUAGGCCCUGGGUUCAAUUUCCAGCACUGUCA